AGAGUUUGAUCCUGGCUCAGAUUGAACGCUGGCGGUAUGCCUUACACAUGCAAGUCGAACGGUAGAGGAGCAAUCCUCGAGAGUGGCGAACGGGUGUGUAAUACAUCGGAACGUGCCCAGUCGUGGGGGAUAACGUAGCGAAAGCUACGCUAAUACCGCAUACGACCCGAGGGUGAAAGCGGGGGACUCGCAAGAGCCUCGCGCGAUUGGAGCGGCCGAUGGCAGAUUAGGUAGUUGGUGGGGUAAAGGCCCACCAAGCCUGCGAUCUGUAGCUGGUCUGAGAGGACGACCAGCCACACUGGGACUGAGACACGGCCCAGACUCCUACGGGAGGCAGCAGUGGGGAAUUUUGGACAAUGGGCGAAAGCCUGAUCCAGCCAUACCGCGUGCGGGAAGAAGGCCUUCGGGUUGUAAACCGCUUUUGUCAGGGAAGAAAUACUUCGGGCUAAUACCCUGGGGUGAUGACGGUACCUGAAGAAUAAGCACCGGCUAACUACGUGCCAGCAGCCGCGGUAAUACGUAGGGUGCAAGCGUUAAUCGGAAUUACUGGGCGUAAAGCGUGCGCAGGCGGUUCUAUAAGACAGAUGUGAAAUCCCCGGGCUCAACCUGNGAACUGCAUUUGUGACUGUAGAGCUAGAGUACGGUAG
rnacentral:rRNA from 1 species